GAGUUGUACUUUGCAGAGGAUGUUUUGAAAUCUGUCUCGUAUAAAGUCCUUUGGAACAGGGCGUCAUGGAGGGUGAAAAUCCCGUCUUUUCGAUGACAGCUUUUCAUUGUAAAACUCCUUCGAAGAGUCGAGUUGUUUGGGAAUGCAGCUCUAAGUGGGAGGUAAAUUUCUUCCAAAGCUAAAUAUAGGCUAGAGACCGAUAGCGCACAAGUAGAGUGAUCGAAAGAUGAAAAGCACUUUGAAAAGAGAGUUAAACAGCACGUGAAAUUGUUGAAAGGGAAGCUUAUGUAAUCAGAUAUGAUUCGCAGGUUCAGCCUUUUGGUGUAUUCCUGAGGAUCAGGUUAGCAUCAGUUUGGGUCGUCGGAUAAAAGUUUUGGGAAUGUAACUCUUCGGAGUGUUAUAGCCCGAUUCAGAAUGCGACGAAUUUAGACUGAGGUCCGCUUUGAAGGAUGC
rnacentral:rRNA from 1 species